rnacentral:rRNA from 1 species
UACAGAGGGUGCAAGCGUUGCUCGGAUUUACUGGGCGUAAAGCGUACGCAGACGGUGAGAAAGGUCGGAUGUGAAAGCCCCGGGCUCAACCCGGGAACUGCAUCCGAAACCAUCUCGCUAGAGUAUGAGAGAGGGAAGCGGAACUCCUGGUGUAGAGGUGAAAUUCGUAGAUAUCAGGAGGAUCAUCUGCGGCGAAGGCGGCUUCCUGGCUCAUUACUGACGUUCAGGUACGAAAGCGUGGGUAGCAAACAGG